rnacentral:rRNA from 1 species
CCAGCUCCAAUAGCGUAUAUUAAAGUUGUUGCAGUUAAAAAGCUCGUAGUUGAACCUUGGGCCUGGCUGGCCGGUCCGCCUCACCGCGUGUACUGGUCCGGCCGGGCCUUUCCUUCUGGGGAACCUCAUGCCCUUCACUGGGCGUGUUGGGGAACCAGGACUUUUACUUUGAAAAAAUUAGAGUGUUCAAAGCAGGCCUUUGCUCGAAUACAUUAGCAUGGAAUAAUAGAAUAGGACGUGUGGUUCUAUUUUGUUGGUUUCUAGGACCGCCGUAAUGAUUAAUAGGGAUAGUCGGGGGCAUCAGUAUUCAAUCGUCAGAGGUGAAAUUCUUGGAUUGAUUGAAGACUAACUACUGCGAAAGCAUUUGCCAAGGAUGUUUUCAUUAAUCAGUGAACGAAAGUUAGGGGAUCGAAGACGAUCAGAUACCGUCGUAGUCUUAACCAUAAACUAUGCCGACUAGGGAUCGGACGGUGUUAGUAUUUUGACCCGUUCGGCACCUUACGAGAAAUCAAAGUUUUUGGGUUCUGGGGGGAGUAUGGUCGCAAGGCUGAAACUUAAAGAAAUUGACGGAAGGGCACCACCAGGCGUGGAGCCUGCGGCUUAAUU